rnacentral:rRNA from 1 species
ACUCCGUUGUUGGUGAAGAAUGGUGGGCAGAGUAACUGGGGUUGGCGUGACGGUAUCCAACCAGAAAGCCAAGGCUAAGUACGUGCCAGCAGCCGCGGUAAUACGUAGGUGGCAAGCGUUAUCCGGAUUUAUUGGGCGUAAAGCGAGCGCAGGCGGUUUUUUAAGUUUGAUGUGAAAGCCCUAGGUUUAACCGAGGAAGCGCAUCGGAAACUGGGAAACUUGAGUGCAGAAGAGGACAGUGGAAAUCCAUGUGUAGCGGUGAAAUGCGUAGAUAUAUGGAAGAACACCAGUGGCGAAGGCGGCUGUCUGGUCUGUAACUGACGCUGAGGCUCGAAAGCAUGGGUAGCGAACAGGAUUAGAUACCCUGGUAGUCCAUGCCGUAAACGAUGAAUGCUAGGUGUAGGAGGGUUUCCGCCCUUCAGUGCCGCAGCUAACGCAUAAGCAUCCGCCUG